rnacentral:lncRNA from 10 species
ACCGCAACCUGUUUUAUCAGCAAAGUCUUUAUAACCUGUAUUUUGUGCUGACCUCCUAUCUCAUCCUGUGACUUAGAAUGCCUUAACAACUGUCUGGAAUGCAGCCCGAUCUGUGGAGUGGCUGCAGCACCUGUGUUUCAGCCUGAAGAAUGGGCACAGAUAUUUCAUGAUUCUGAAGAAGAAUUGGAGGUGAGACUUGAGAAAAUGGAGAAAAAGAUAUGCUUUGGAUUUUCUUGAAGACUAGAAGCUUUCUUAACCAUCCACCACCUUGUUGACUGGUUAUUAUUCUCUCUACCUUCUGUGAAACAAACUGAUGGAUACUAAUGGCACAAUUACACUUAUAGCUAGUCAGUUGCAUAGUUUAUGCACAUAGUUCUGCUUCCAGUGUUUAGUAAUGAGUUAAACAUUUUGGCUAUAUUUGUCUCUGAAGCUAUAAUUUCAAUUAAUCAUUAUGUAUAGCAAUAAUAACAAGUAAAACAAAAAGAAGAAUUUUUUGUUUCUAUGGUAAUUAUGUUGGGUGCUUUGGAUCCUCCCAAUAAAGUUGACUUCCUAAAAUAAUUACACUUGAAUUAGGUAUAGAGAAGCUAAUUGUAACAAAUUGAAAGUUACUGUAAAUCUUCUAAUCGUAGUUCUCUGCAAGUGUACUUAAGUUAUUGCUCCACUUGAAAUAAAUGAAAACUGGAAAUCUGAGGUGAUGAAUUAUGGGUCCCUUUUAUGUAAGAAAGAUGACAAGGAAAUCUAAUCUGCUGAGUUAUACUAAAAUAAAAUACCUUGGCCUGGGAUCAAAUAUAGGUGAAAGAAUUAACAUUUAUGUUUUUUAAUUAAGAUAAAAUGUACAAGUUUUAUGUACAUAUUUUAUGAUUUCCUGAUAUAACAAAAAGUGUUGAUAAAAGCACCCAAUACUGAUUCUAAUGACAUUUGAUUAGCAUUAAAGAGUUGCUAUUAUUA